rnacentral:rRNA from 1 species
AGUGGCGGACGGGUGAGUAACGCGUAGGUAUCUGCCUAGAAGUGGGGGACAACCCGGAGAAAUCCGGGCUAAUACCGCAUAUACCCUACGGGGUAAAGUGGGGGACCUUUCGGGGCCUCACGCUUCUAGAUGAACCUGCGUCGGAUUAGCUUGUUGGUGAGGUAACGGCUCACCAAGGCGACGAUCCGUAGCUGGUCUGAGAGGAUGACCAGCCACACUGGGACUGAGACACGGCCCAGACUCCUACGGGAGGCAGCAGUGGGGAAUAUUGGACAAUGGGGGCAACCCUGAUCCAGCCAUGCCGCGUGUGUGAAGAAGGCCUUCGGGUUGUAAAGCACUUUCAGUGGGGAAGAAAUUCUCAAGACUAAUACUCUUGGGGCUUGACGGUACCUACAUAAGAAGCACCGGCUAAAUUCCGUGCCAACAGCCGCGGUAAUACGGAAGGUGCAAGCGUUAAUCGGAAUCACUGGGCGUAAAGCGCGCGUAGGCUGUUUGGUCAGUCAGGUGUGAAAGCCCUGGGCUCACCUGGGAACUGCAUUUGAUACUGCAAGACUAGAGUAUGGUAGACGGGGAGUGGGAAUUCCACAUGUAACGUGAAAUGCAUACAGAUGUGGAGGAACAACAAUGGAGGAAGCCAAAUCCUGGACCAUUACUGACGCUGGAGGUGC